rnacentral:rRNA from 1 species
UGAUACGCGAGGAACCGUUACCUGGGCUCGAACGUAAGAUGACUGUAGGUGAAAGCUUACAUCUCUUCGGAGCAUUUUACGAGGUGCUGCAUGGUUGUCGUCAGCUCGUGCCGUGAGGUGUCGGGUUAAGUCCCAUAACGAGCGCAACCCCUACCUUAGUUGCCAUCAGGUAAUGCUGGGGACUCUAAAGGAACUGCCUACGCAAGUAGUGAGGAAGCGGGGAUGACGUCAAAUCAGCACGGCCCUUACGUCCAGGGCUACACACGUGCUACAAUGGCCGAUACAGAGGGCAGCUACCUGGUGACAGGAUGCAAAUCUCCAAAGUCGGUCUCAGUUCGGAUCGGAGUCUGCAACCCGACUCCGUGAAGUUGGAUUCGCUAGUAAUCGCGCAUCAGCCAUGGCGCGGUGAAUACGUUCCCGGGCCUU